rnacentral:RNase_P_RNA from 1 species
CGCUGGGCCUUCGGGCCGAGAGGAAAGUCCGGGCAGCACGAGCCACCAUGCUUCCUAACCGGAAGGGGUUUGGUUUGUAAAAAUCGAACCACAGAGAGCGCCACAGAAAACAUACCGCCAUUGUUUAUGGCAAGGGUGAAAACGCGGGGUAAGAGCCCACGACGCGACCGGGCGACCGGCACGAUGGCAAGCCUCAUGGGCUGAAAGACCAUGUAUACCAAUCUGUCGCAAGACAACAAGCUGGCUCGCUUGUAUAGGUUGGGGGGUAGGUUGAUUGAGACCGUCGGCGACGGCGGCCCUAGAUUGAUGAUAGGACACGACAGAACCCGGCUUAUAGGUCCU